rnacentral:rRNA from 1 species
UACGUAGGUGGCGAGCGUUGUCCGGAUUUACUGGGCGUAAAGAGCGCGCAGGCGGCUGGUCAAGUCCGAUGUGAAAGCUCCCGGCUUAACUGGGAAAUUGCAUCGGAAACUGAUCGGCUGGAAGGUGGGAGAGGGUAGCGGAAUUCCCGGUGUAGUGGUGAAAUGCGUUGAUAUCAUCAGGAACACCGGAGGCGAAGGCGGCUCACUGGGGGUUAUCUGACGCUGAGGAACGAAAGCCAGGGGAGCGAACGGG